AUACGUAGGGGGCGAGCGUUGUCCGGAAUGAUUGGGCGUAAAGGGCGCGUAGGCGGCUUGUUAAGUCUGGAGUGGAAGUCCUCUUUUCAAGUGAGGAAUUGCUUUGGAAACUGGCGGGCUUGAGUGCAGGAGAGGUUAUUGGAAUUCCCGGUGUAGCGGUGAAAUGCGUAGAGAUCGGGAGGAACACCAGUGGCGAAGGCGGGUAACUGGACUGCAACUGACGCUGAGGCGCGAAAGUGUGGGGAGCAAACAGGAUUAGAUACCCUGGUAGUCCACACUGUAAACGAUGAGUGCUAGGUGUAGGAGGUAUCGAGCCCUUCUGUGCCGGAGUAAACGCAAUAAGCACUCCGCCUGGGGAGUACGGUCGCAAGAUUGAAACUCAAAUGAAUUGACGGGG
rnacentral:rRNA from 1 species